CACGUAGGGCGCAAGCGUUGUCCGGAAUUAUUGGGCGUAAAGAGCUCGUAGGCGGUCUGUCGCGUCUGCUGUGAAAUCCCGGGGCUCAACCUCGGGCUUGCAGUGGAUACGGGCAGACUAGAGUUCGGUAGGGGAGACUGGAAUUCCUGGUGUAGCGGUGAAAUGCGCAGAUAUCAGGAGGAACACCGGUGGCGAAGGCGGGUCUCCGGGCCGAUACUGACGCUGAGGAGCGAAAGCGUGGGGAGCGAGCAGG
rnacentral:rRNA from 1 species